AUUGAACGCUGGCGGCAGGCCUAAUACAUGCAAGUCGAACGGUAACAUAAGAAAGCUUGCUUUCUUGAUGACGAGUGGCGGACGGGUGAGUAAUAUUUGGGAAGCUACCUGAUAGAGGGGGACAACAGCUGGAAACGACUGCUAAUACCGCAUACAGCCUGAGGGUGAAAGCAGCAAUGCGCUAUCAGAUGCGCCCAAACGGGAUUAGCUAGUAGGUGAGGUAAAGGCUCACCUAGGCGACGAUCUCUAGCUGGUCUGAGAGGAUGAUCAGCCACAUUGGGACUGAGACACGGCCCAGACUCCUACGGGAGGCAGCAGUAGGGAAUAUUGCACAAUGGAGGAAACUCUGAUGCAGCCAUGCCGCGUGUGUGAAGAAGGCCUUC
rnacentral:rRNA from 1 species